UGUAAGCGUAUACCAAAGUUGUUGCAGUUAAAACGCUCGUAGUCGGAAUUUGGCAGUUCCGGAAGUGUGCACGUCGUGUGCGCACUUUGCGGGGACUGCUUUUGUGGUCUUGCGUAGGAUGAGGCACUUUCAUUAGUGAACGUCCUCACGCAACCACUCUUUACUGUGAGAAAAUCAGAGUGCUCAAAGCAGGCAUUUGCCGUGAAUGUAUUAGCAUGGAAUAAUAGAAUAGGACCCGGUUCUAUUUUGUUGGUUUGUUGGGACUGAGUAAUGAUUAAGAGGGACAGUUGGGGGCAUUUGUAUUCCGGCGCUAGAGGUGAAAUUCUUAGAUUGCCGGAAGACAAACUGCUGCGAAAGCGUCUGCCAAGGAUGUUUUCAUUGA
rnacentral:rRNA from 1 species